GCCAGCUUAGUGUAGGGUUUGGGUGUUGGACUAGGACUCUGGAGACCAGGGUUCAAAUCCCUGCUCGGCCA